GAUGAUGCUGCAGACUAUGAGAACAGCUCGGCAAUAUACACAUGGCAACUCCAUCAAGCAGAAGCUCUGCAGACAGAAAGCCUGGAUGAUGAGCCAGACUAUGUCAACGCAGCUCCUGCAUCAGGCCCUGCCCCGCUGUCAAAGCAAAGUACUCUGUGUAAAGCCUGAAGAAAUCCUUAGCUGAGCUGUAGGAGCACAUCAGUGAGCACACAAGGGGUUUUCCAUCCCUCAGAGGAGUCGCUUCACCAAAUUGUGCCCAAGAUCAUGCAGAAGGUGCCACUAAAAGGAAGCAAUGUUCUGCUUGAAGUCCCAUGGAAGUCCAACUGCAAACCUGCAACUGGAGAAAGUACUCAAUGGCCACGGGCCAUUUCCCAUCUCAUUCCCCUGCAUGUCUGCUGGAAGGAGGAUGGCCACUCUGUGCCAUGUUUUCUCCUGUCAAGCAUGAAAUGAAUGUUUAAAUUGCAGAGCAGUAAUGCAGCCAGCUACUUAAUUUGUCAGGGUGACUCAUGCAUGAUGGUAUUAAGACAUAGGGAUUAUGUUCUGAUUUAGUUCCUAUGCUCUCCCACAGAAGCAGUUUCCUACAAGAGAGGAACUGGCAAGGCAGAGGUUGCUUUUAAAACAGCAGUGGUUUGUGGAGCUAAAUGUCAUACCAACCUGCUCACCAGAGCUAAAGAGGAUUAAAUCCCUGCCUUGCCCACAGCCUGUAAUUCACAGUAUCCAUGGCAGUUUUUCUUGUGUUUCACUAUCUGGUUUAUAACAAUACAAAGAUGCUGCAACAGCUGAGAAGGUCAGAUCCACAGCUGCCAGCCUGAGAAACUGCAUCAGGUCUUUUAGUAGUGCUGUAGGAACAUCAGCCCUGAAACACAGUCCUUGUCUCUUGAGCCCUGAUGCACAGAUUUGGCACCGGUUUAUCACUUAUUUAUUAAAAUGGA